UAUUACACAGGAACGCUUUAGUAAAUAAGGCGGUGCUUUAUGCCCGCCUUAUCUCUAAAGCGCUCCGAAAGACCCUCAAAUGCCUCCGUCGCCUUACCGCCUUAAAAACUAUGAUCAAACACCUUGACUUACAUCGAUGCGAAGGACUUGAAAAGUUACCGGAUUCCUUAGGUCUUUUGGAAAAACUAGAGACUUUGGAUGCCAGCUUUUGUUAUAUCAAGGAUGGGGGAAUUCCGAAUGAAAUAGGCAUUCUACCCUCUUUGAAAAUCUUGAGAAUAGGUGGAAACGAUUUUCAAAGCCUACCCAUGACACUUUCUAACCUUUCCUUGCUCCAAACACUUGAUUUACGGUUCUGCAACAAACUAAAGUCACUCCCCGCGUUGGUGGGGUUGAGAAAUUUAGAGAGAUUAAAUGUUGAUAAUUGUCAGAGCUUAGCAGAGAUUGAAGGCCUCGAAGGGUUGGAGUCCCUAGAGCUGUUGGAGAUGAUGAACUGCAUAUCAUUAAGAAAAAUUGGGAAAAUAUCCGUUUUGGGAAAACUGAAGGAAUUAACAUUCACAGAUUACUCAAUGUUAUCCGAGAUUGAGUGCCUCGAGGGACUAGACUCUCUGGAGCUGUUGACAAUAAAUGACCGUGGAUCAUUAAGGAAAAUUGGGAAAAUAUCCAACUUGAAAAAACUGAAGGAAUUAAGACUAAUGAGCUGCUGGAAUUUACUUGAGAUUGUGGGCCUUGUGGGUUUAGAUUCCCUGGUGCUGUUGAAAAUAAGUUAUUGUGAAUUAUGUUGGAUUGAAGGCCUUGAGAAUUUGGUAUCUUUGGAAAAACUAAUCCUGGAUAAUUGUCGUAUGGAAAGAUGACAAGAUCUCUCCAACUUGAGGAACCUGAAGCAUUUAAAUGCUCGCAAAUGCAGAAAACUAAUGGAGAUUCAGGGCCUCGAUCAAUUGAAAUACUUGGAGACCUUGGAUUUUGGGUGGUGCUUGUCUAUGGAAAGAUUACCAGAUCUCUCCAACUUGAGAAACUUGAAGCAUAUAAAUGCUCGCCAGUGCGAAAAACUAUCGGAGAUUCAAGGCCUCGAUCAAUUGGAAUCCUUGGACACUUUGGAUUUUGGGCGGUGCUUGUCUAUGGAAAGAUUACCAAAUCUCUCCAACUUGAGAAACUGGAAGCAUUUAAAUGCUCACAAGUGCGAAAAACUAAUGGAGAUUCAAGGUCUCGAUCGAUUGGAAUCCUUGGAGACCUUGGAUUUGGGGUGGUGCUCGUCUAUGGAAAGAUUACCAGAUCUCUCCAACUUAAGAAACUUGAAGCAUUUAAAUGCUCGCCAGUGCGAAAAACUAAUGGAGAUUCAAGGCCUCGAUCGAUUGGAAUCCUUGGAGAUAUUGGAUUUGGGGGGGUGCUCAUCUAUGGAAAGAUUACCAGAUCUCUUCAAUUUGAGAAACUUGAAGCUUUUAGCUGUUUGCAUGUGCAAAAACUAACGAAGAUUCAAGGCCUCGAUAGAUUGGAAUCCUUGGAGAUACUGGAUUUUGGGUGGUGCUAGUCUAUGGAAAGAUUACCAGAUGUCUCCAACCUGAGAAACUUGAAUCUUUUAGAUGUUCGCGAGUGCGAAAAACUAACGGAGAUUCGAGGCCUCGAUCAAUUGGAAUCCUUGGAAAACUUUCGACUUUGGAGAUAAGGAAGAACGAAUCUCAGUUCUAGAGAUGAGGGCUUUAGUUCAUCCCUGUUAACCAGAGAAGGUUGAGCAUUUGAAGAUGGAACAAAAGACCAGGGGAAGAGUGGAGCUAAGGUGAUCUGGAAACAGAGACAACUGCUUCAGAUGUAGAGCCAAACCAAGGGGGGACCGGGGGAAAGGGGAGUGAUGGGGGUGCUUGAAUUUGAGGCUUCUGCUUCAGGUGUUGGACCCUCAGAUCGUGAGGAUUGGACAGUUCUUAUCAAUUAAUCCUAACAGCAUGGAGGGGUAUUGUGUACUUAAUGAUAUCAGAAUCUUAUCUACUUGGAGGUUUUUGAUUUAGAUGACAGAAACUGAAAGAAACCCAUUGGCACAUAGCUAUGGUUGGGCUCACAUUCAUUCAGUUGGCUGCCCAAGUGACCUUCCUGAAAUACAACCUCUGUUAAUAUCGUACAAUCUGCAGGUAAAAACUAAAUCAAAGCGUCUCUAUACAUUUAAGGACUCCUCUCACAAACCUGAGUAGAUCCCUUUUUUCUUUUUUGUUGUGUGUGAGAGCUUCUAGUUGUAACCACAUUGCUUACAAGUUGAACUGUAACCUUGGACCUGAUUCUGUUUCGUGGCAUCUCAAAUGGGGCUGAAAAUUUGCUGACAUAUAGAUCCCAAUGUCACAUAUACACAUGUCAAGUUUCAGCCCAAUCAGAGUCUGUCACAUGGCAAAACAAAAAUCAGGACUAGAAGAGGAUGUGUAGGACUACAGUAGUGUGCGCGGAUAUAAACAAAAGGCUAUGAUAUUAGAUGGAAAAGUAAAUGAUUGAAUUUGAGGUUGAAAUUUGACACAUAGCCGAGCUAUAAAAUUUCCUAUAUGGCUAUAUCUGACAGAAAAUUUGCCUUAUCAUUCUUCCAUGUGGCAAAAUAAGUGAUGGUUACAAAUUCCCUAUAUGUUAAACUUAUCAGCUGCUAGAUGCAUGCCUAGAGUUCCUGGAAGCAGCUAGGCGAACCACCUAGAAAGCCUUAUUGAAUAGAAGUUCUUUAACAAAACUAUUUUUGUGUUCGGUGCACCUGAAUGACUCAUUGUUGGCUACUGACUGCUUGUGUGGACCUUGUAGAGUCCUUUUGGGAUGGGUUUGAUGUUGCAAAGAGACUAGAUAUGAUUAAGACAUCAGAAUCUGAAUUUGCAUAUUAUAUAUUUUGUGAACUUGUGACUUUAUGUUGAGCAAAUUUUGUGUUUUUAUUUUGGUUUUGUGGUAGAAGGUAAAGACAAAUUUCUCUUUUGCUGUUUGUAGGACUUGAAUCCACUAUAUUUGGUAUGCAAGUCACAUGCUCUACCUGGCCAUUAAGGCAAGGAAGCAUGGAGUAUGGAUUCUUAGUAUGGGUCAGAUAUGGUUCUACUUCUGGAUUCAAAGUGGAUCCAUUUGAGAAUACAAUUUAAUACCUGAGAAUUUGGUUCUGGAAGUGAGACAUCCAAGCUUUUACAAAUUCUGAUCAUGCAUACCCAGACACAGAGGAUGGCUUCUUAAAACACCCAACAAUGAUUGAUAUAUCCAUGGUUAAAUAUGAUCUGUUGUAUAUGGUUAUAUUAGCGUGGGUUUAUUGUUUGCUUAAGCUAUGAUGCACAGAUGCUCUUGUUAUUGCAGCGACUUGUGAAGGUCCAUACAUUGUAAGCUCGAACCAUCAAAUUGGAUGAGACAACAGCAAGGAAUUCCCAGAUGUUGAGCCAUUCCAAAAAUCAAAAUCCUAUGCUAAUGCUCGCUCCUUACAAAUGCUAUGCACAAUCAUUUUCGGACUGAUCCAUACUCAAUGACCACCCUUGGAUCCACAUGCUUCAAGAUAUCCACCAUACUCAUGGCCUGAAAGUUCUUUCAUCGGACCCGAGAGAGCACUGGGCUUAACAUAGAGGGCAGAAAACAAAGCAAGGUACAAUUAAGUCUACUCUCUCGGUGCUGAGACACCUUGCUUCAGCCUCUUCAUCUUCUUCUUGGAGACAUGCUUUUUUUUCCUUGGUGGAAGUCUCUUCUGAGCAUGUGCAAAAUUACAUAUGAUGGCCUGUUCAAAGUGGAUUCCUCAAAUUCUCUUCCUAAUGAAAGGCAAUCCUCUUUUGGACAUACGGAGGAGAUAUUCCAAUAAAAGUCUGCUCCCGGAUUAAUGCCCUGAUUUGCAAGAUGAUCUGCUAUAACAUUGAUCUUACAGCAAUAGGAAAUCUUCCGUGAACAAGACUGUAGAUAGAAUCUAAGGUUCCAUCACUGCUCAAUAAAUUUCCAAUGAAAAGUUUGUGGUUUAACUGCUGAAAUCAAAGCUGAAGAAUCAGUUUCAAUCCAUAAUUUAUCAAAUCUUCUUCGUCGCGAUUUUAUGACUGAA